rnacentral:rRNA from 1 species
CGCUGGCGGCGUGCCUAAUACAUGCAAGUCGAACGCACUCUCGUUUAGAUUGAAGGAGCUUGCUCCUGAUUGAUAAACAUUUGAGUGAGUGGCGGACGGGUGAGUAACACGUGGGUAACCUGCCCUAAAGUGGGGGAUAACAUUUGGAAACAGAUGCUAAUACCGCAUAAAACCUAACACCGCAUGGUGUAGGGUUGAAAGAUGGUUUCGGCUAUCACUUUAGGAUGGACCCGCGGUGCAUUAGUUAGUUGGUGAGGUAAAGGCUCACCAAGACCGUGAUGCAUAGCCGACCUGAGAGGGUAAUCGGCCACACUGGGACUGAGACACGGCCCAGACUCCUACGGGAGGCGGCAGUAGGGAAUCUUCCACAAUGGACGAAAGUCUGAUGGAGCAACGCCGCGUGAGUGAAGAAGGUUUUCGGAUCGUAAACUCUGUUGUUGGAGAAGAAUGUAUCUGAUAGUAACUGAUCAGGUAGUGACGGUAUCCAACCAGAAAGCCACGGCUAACUACGUG